rnacentral:lncRNA from 1 species
ACACUGGGCCUGAUGUCUUCGGGUUGAGCCUUGUCAAAACGCUUGGGCCGAGAUGUCAAAGGAGCCCCUGCUACCACUCCAGCCGAGCCUGCAGGCUUGUCUUGGUCAGCCGACCGUCUAGUGCUGACAAUAUGUUCGGUGUUGUUUUAUACCGCCUUACGGGACGUGGGCCAAAGGUCGGAAGAGAAUAGGAGAUGGAUAUAGAUAGGCCAGACGAAAAAACAUGCAAGUAUUGGCAUACCGACCC